ACACGACUACAUUAGAUACCCCUGUAGUCCUAGCCGUAAACGAUACUCGCUAGGUGUCGGCCACGGUGCGACCGUUGUCGGUGCCGUAGGGAAGCCGUGAAGCGAGCCACCUGGGAAGUACGGCCGCAAGGCUGAAACUUAAAGGAAUUGGCGGGGGAGCACAACAACGGGUGGAGCUUGCGGUUUAAUUGGAUUCAACGCCGGAAAUCUUACCGGGACCGACAGCAACAUGAAGGCCAAGCUGAAGACUUUGUCGGAUUAGCUG
rnacentral:rRNA from 1 species